rnacentral:lncRNA from 10 species
GCUAACAACAAACUACUCUCUCUUUUAAUUUCUACCUCUUUUCUUUACCCUUUUUCUAUUUUUAUUUUCCCUUUUUCUUUGUUUUCUUUCCUUGUCAUUUCCUUUUCACCAGAUGUUCACUUUCUCCUGUUCUCUUCUCUCCCUAUCACACCGCAUCUUCUUAGUUCUACUUUUUUUUUUUUAAACUUAUUCGGCUCUCUAUAACUUCUUUCUUUUUCACUUCUACCUUCCCUUUUACUUUCCUUCUUUUUUCAUUUUGAGCACUCCAGUAAAACACUUAUCAUUCAAAAGGCAACAUUCCACUGUGCAUAUACAGAAACACUAAACAAACUGUAUUUAGGGAGGAGCAUAUAUUGUCUAAAUCCAGUUUUUCAAAGGCAGUUUCUAAAAAUAAAAUUCAUAUCAGAGAAUGUAAAGGUUUGGGUGGGAAAUGCUGUGUCAAAUUGUCAGUUGUCUUUAUAACCUGACAUGAAGUGUGUAUUAAUGAAUUAUACAAAAUCAACACACAACAAAUUGCCUUUCAUCUUCUCUUAUGGGUUUCAGAGCUGUCAGAAGAUUCGGCAGUCUAUAAUUAGAAUGAAAACAAGUCCAGCUU